UACGUAGGGUGCGAGCGUUAAUCGGAAUUACUGGGCGUAAAGCGUGCGUAGUCGGCAAUUUAAGUCGGGUGUGAAAUCCCCGGGCUCAACCUGGGAAUGGCGAUGGAGACUGCAAGGCUAGAAUCUGGCAGAGGGGGGUAGAAUUCCACGUGUAGCAGUGAAAUGCGUAGAUAUGUGGAGGAACACCGAUGGCGAAGGCAGCCCCCUGGGCUAAGAUUGACGCUCAUGCACGAAAGCGUGGGGAGCAAACAGG
rnacentral:rRNA from 1 species